rnacentral:rRNA from 1 species
UACGUAGGGGGCAAGCGUUGUCCGGAUUUAUUGGGCGUAAAGAGCUCGUAGGCGGCUCGGUAAGUCGGAUGUGAAACCUCCAGGCUCAACCUGGAGACGCCAUCUGAUACUGCCGUGGCUUGAGUCCGGUAGAGGAGCAGGGAAUUCCUGGUGUAGCGGUGAAAUGCGCAGAUAUCAGGAGGAACACCGGUGGCGAAGGCGAGUCUCUGGGCCGAUACUGACGCUGAGGAGCGAAAGCGUGGGGAGCGAACAGG